CAGCAAACUGGUACAAACAAAAUGUACCUACCUAGGUAUAUCAAAUUGGAACUAGUCCAAUGUGAUCUAUUGAUAAACAGCGAUCUACGAUAAAGCGAGAAAAAUGGGAGGUUCUAUGCAGAGGUCGAAACAUUAAAAAUGUAAAAAGAAAAAAAAGUUGAUACUGGUGACGGGUGCGCCACUGUCGUAGGUAGGAAGUUGGAAAGGUACGAUAAAUAAGGUUAAGUAGG